UGGAGAGAGAAAAAAAAUCAAGAUUCUGUAUCCUUGCCAACAUAAACUAACCCAUGCAGCAAUUGCUUGAACUUUUCUGUUUCCCCAAAUUUCCCUGAAGAUUACAUAGCUUCAGAUCAGAACUGAAGACACAAGGACAGAUGGGCACUAGAGAAAUAAGGAGAUGGAUGAGACAGAAGCUAAUAGGUGAUAGGAGGAAUCAGAUGAGAAAACAAAUGGAAGAAUUAAAGAAAAGGAGAAGCAUGUUGUCAGAUGGAGUCAACUCACAACCUGCUAAUUUUUGGAGAACAACACUUCUCUUUUGGAGAACAACAGUUCAGGAGCCAGGAGCCAUCGUCAAUAUCAUUUCUGAAAGGCAGAUCUAAUGUUUGCCGUCAAAGCUGCAACAUGUUUGCAUAAGGAUAGAGAUGAGCAUUGACCAGCUUUGCAAAAGGACAGAGUCUUCCUCAGCUAGCAACAGAGAAGGCAUCAUUUCCUUACCUUGAAAAUAAGUCUCUCUCUUAAUCAGUUCAACUGCACUUAUAGAAAGUUCUUGGGUAAUAAAAGUUGGAACAUAGAACAUAGAAUAGUACAGCACAGUACAGGCCCUUCAGCCCACAAUGUUGUGCCGACCCUUAAACCCUGCCUCCCAUAUAACCCCUUGCCUUAAAUUCCUCCAGAUACCUGUCUAGUCGUCUCUUAAAUUUCAAUAGUGUACCUGCCUCCACCAUAGACUCAGGCAAUGCAUUCCAUGCCCCAACCACUCUGAGUAAAAAAAACCUUCCUCUAAUAUCCCCCUUGAACUUCCCACCCCUUACCUUUAAUCCAUGUCCUCUUGUAUUAAACAGUGAUGCCCUGGGGAAGAGGUGCUGGCUGUCCACUCUAUCUAUUCCUCUUAAUAUCUUAUAUACCUCUAUCAUGUCUCCUCUCAUCCUCCUCCUCUCCAAAGAGUAAAGCCCUAGCUCCCUUAAUCUCUGCUCAUAAUGCAUACUCUCCAAACCAUGCAGCAUCCUGCUAAAUCUCCUCUGUACCCUUUCCAAUGCUUCCACAUCCUUCCUAUAGUGAGGUGACCAGAACUGGACACAGUACUCCAAGUGUGGCCUAACCAGAGUUUUAUAGAGCUGCAUCAUUAUCUCGUGACUCUUAAACUCUGUCCCUUGACUUAUGAAAGUUAACACCCCAUAAGAUAAAGCCCCAUCUACCUGUGAAGCAACUUUCAGGGAUCUGUGGACAUUUACCAAGAAACCGUCUGCUCCUCCACACUACCAAGUAUCCUGCCAUUUACUUUGUACUCUGCCUUGGAGUUUGUCCUUCCAAAGUGUACCACCUCACACUUCUCUGGGUUGAACUCCAUCUGCGACUUCUCAGCCUACUUCUGCAUCCUAUUAAUGUCUCUCUGCAAUCUUCCACAAUCCUCUACACUAUCCACAAUACCACCAACCUUUGUGUUGUCUGCAAAUUUGCCAACCCACCCUUCUACCCCCACACCCAGGUCGUUAAUAAGAAUCAUAAAAAGCAGAGAUCCCAGAACAGAUCCUUGUGGGACACCACUAGUCACAACCCUCCAAUCCGAAUGUACUCCCUCCACCAUGACCCUCUGCUUUCUGCAGGCAAGCCAAUUCUGAAUGCACCUGGCCAAACUUCCCUGGAUCCCAUGCCUUCUGACUUUCUGAAUAAGCCUACCAUGUAAAACCUUAUCAAAUGCUUUACUAAAAUCCAUGUAGAUCACGUCCACUGCACUACCCUCAUCUAUUUGCCUGGUCACCUCCUCAAAGAACUCUAUCAGACUUGUUAGUCACAAUCUGCCCUUCACAAAGCCAUGCUGACUGUCCCUGUGAUUCUUUAAAUGCCCAUAGAUCCUAUCUCUAAGAAUCUUUUCCAACAGCUUUCCCACCACAGAUGUAAGGCUCACUGGUCUAUAAUUACCUGGACUAUCCCUACUACCUUUUUUGAAAAAGGAGACAACAUUCGCCUCCCUCCAAUCCUCCAGUACCAUUCCUGUGGACAACAAGGACAUAAAGAUCCUAGCCAGAGGCUCAGCGAUCUUUUCCCUCACCUCGUGGAGUAGCCUGGGGAAUAUUCCAUCAGGCCCCGGGGACUUAUCCAUCCGAGUAUAUUUUAACAACUCGAGCACCUCCUCUCCCUUGAUAUCAACAUGCUCCAGAACAUCAACCUCACUCAUAUUGUUCUCACCGUCAUCAAGUUCCCUCUCAUUGGUGAAUACUAAAUAGAUGUAUUCAUUGAGGACCUUGCUCACUUCCACAGCCUCCAGGCACAUCUUCCCACCUUUAUCUCUAAUCCAUCCUACCUUCACUCCUGUCAUCCUUUUGUUCUUCACAUAAUUGAAGGAUGCCUUCGGGGUUUCCUUUACCCCACUCACCAAGGCCUUCUCAUGCCCCCUUCUUGCUCUCCUCAGCCCCUACUUAAGCUCCUUUCUUGCUACCCUAUAUUCCUUAAUAGACCCAUCUGAUCCUUGCUUUCUAAAUCUCAUAUAUGCUGCCUUCUUCCACCUGACUGGACUAUGCACCUCACUUGUCACCCAUGGUUCCUUCACCCUACCAUUCUUUAUCUUCGUAACCGGGACAAAUUUAUCCCUAACAUCCUGCAAGAGAUCCCUAAAUAUCAACCACAUGUCCAUAGUACAUUUCUCUGUGAAAUCGUCAUCCCAAUUCACACUCGCAAAUUCUAGCCUUAUAGCCUCAUAAUUUGCCCUUCCCCAAUUAAAAAUGUUUCUGUCGUCUCUGAUUCUACCCUUUUCUGUGAUAAUGCUAAAGGCCAGGGAGCGGUGAGCACUGUCCCCCAGAUCCCGCAACUGAGAGAUCUGUGACCUGACCCAGUCUGUUACCUAAUACUAGAUCUAGUAUGGCAUUCCCCCUCGUCAGCUUGUCAACAUACUGUGACAGGAAUCCGUUCUGGACACACUUAACAAACUCUGCCCUGUCUAAACCAUUGGAACUAAUCAGGUGCCAAUCAAUAUUAGGGAAGUUAAAGUCACCCAUGUUAUUUUUGCACCUUUCUAAACUCUGCCUCCCAAUCUGCUCCUCGGUAUCUCUGCUGCUACCAGGAGGUCUAUACUCCCAAUAGAGUAACUGCUCCUUUCCUGUUCCUGACUUCCACCCAUACUGUCUCAAAAGAGGAUCCUGCUACAUUACCCACCCCUUCUGUAGCUUUAAUAAUAUCCCUGACCAGUAAUGCUACCCUCCUCCCCUUUCCCCACCUCUCUAUCCCUUUUAAAGCACUGAAAUCCAGGAAUAUUGAGAAUCCAUUCCUGCCCUGGUGCCAGCCAAGUCUCUGUAAUGGCCACUACAUCAUAAUUCCAUGUAUGUACCCAAGUUCAUCAGCUUUGUUCCUGAUGCUUCUUGCAUUGAAGUACACACACUGUAGCCCUUCUGCCUUACUACCUUUACACCCUUUAUUCUGCUUCUUUCCUCAAAGCCUCUUUAUAUGUUAGAUCUGGCUUUAUACUAUGCACUAUACCUGCAGUUCUCGCAUGACCUUUAUCCUCCUCCACCUCACUAUCUGCUCUAACACUCUGGUUCCCCUCCUGCAAAUCUAGUUUAAACCCCCUGAAGCAGCACUAGCAAACCUUCCUGCAAGGAUGUUAGUCCCCCUCUAAUUCAGGUGUAACCCAUCCCAUUGGAACAGGUCCCACCUUCCUUGGAACAAGACCCAAUUGUCCAGAAACACGAAGCCCUCCCUCUUGCACCAACUCCUUAGCCACGUAUUUAGCUGCAUUAUCUUCCUAUUUCUAGCCUCACUAGCAUGUGACAUGGGUAGCAAUACUGAGAUUUCAAACCUGGAGGUCCUGUCCUUCAACUUUGCACCUAUCUCCCUAAACUCUCUUUGCAGGACCUCCUCCUUCUUCCUACCCACGUCAUUGGUCCCUACAUGGACCAUGACAUCUGGCUGCUCAUCCUCCCUCUUGAGAAUACUGAAAACUCGAUCCGAGAUAUCGCGGACCCUUGCAUCAAGGAGGCAACAGACCAUCCGGGAUUCUGGUUCUCUCCCAAAGAAUCUCUUAUCUGUCCCCUAACUAUCGAAACCCCUAUCACUACUGCUCUCCUCUUUUACCUCCUCCCUUUCUGAGCUGAGAGUCCAGUCUCGGUGCCAGAGAAGCGACUACUGCACCAAGACUGGACUUGAAAAUUUAUUAGCUUGAAAAUAGAUUUGCCAUUAGCAACUGUUCAUGAGAAUCAUUGAACCAGAAAAAUCAUUCAAUUAAAUUUGGAACACUCCACUCUAUCAAAUCAAACACACCAUAUUUGAUUCUCAUUCUCAUAGUUGUGCAUCUCAGUACUGUAUGAAAGUGUUUCUGCUGUGUAACUCUCAGCUAAAUAACAGCAUUCGGUAGCUGCAUUGCUGGAAUAUUUGACCAGCUAUGUGGUAUGCAAUGCUAAUUCUAGAGGAAUCACUUAUGAAACUUUGUCCUAAUUCUUGACCUUGACAAGUAACUAUUAUUGUGUCAUACACAAUAUCACAAAGUUAAUUAUGUGCAGAACAAUAGCCAAAACCCUAACCUUUACCAGUGCUAGAAAUGGAGGGUAGUGGCAUAUCUAAACCAUUCUUAAGGCAUACAGUAUUCUUAUGUACUUCCUACAUUCAGGGUAAUCAUUGAUUGGAACGUUGCCUGUGCACAUGAAAUAUGUAUUUCAAAUGUCAAAGUUUGGAAAACGGAAUGUGCAAUUGUAGCAUUUUGGCCAUGAAAUACAUUAUUUGUGUGAACAUAAAAACUUGUCAUUGAAUUGAUUCUGAAGGAGUGUGCUGAGCACAACAUGAGUGAGUUAACUGCCUUACUUAUUCAAUUGAUUUCAUUUUCUGUGAUAGAUAUGGCUAAUUCCUAAUGAUCUUCAUGCCCUCUUUUAUGGCAUUUCAUUCUGUUAUUGUCAGCAUCUGAUCUUCCACUGGAAAGUCCUGCAACACUAGUAUCCUUCACCAAAAUGAUUAAAGAGUGGGACUGAUUUAAAGAGAUAAUGUGAAUGACUGACGAAUGUAAUGUUCCUUGCAAUGUUUGCAUUACACAAACCCCCCAGAAAGUUUACUUUAUCCUCACAACAGUUUGUAAAAGGACCUUCUGGGAUUUCCGUACAUUGUGUAAUGCGGUACUUCCAUAAUGCAUUUGCUUUUGCACAAGUAAAUAAUAAAUAUGAUAGAAAGGUGAUUGCAACAUAGAGUGCUUCAUCCUUCUGAAAUGUCCUUAGUUAUCGCACCUGCAUAUUUAAUUAAAAUGGGCAGGCCGUGUAUCUGAUAUUACGGAUCACACAGCUGCUUCCAUCAUUCCCAGCCUACAGACAGCACAGUGGCACAGCUGGCAUAGUGGCUAUCUCAUAGCUGCAGUAACCUGAGUUCAUUCCUGACCACUUGUGCUACCUGUGAGGAGUUUCCUGCUUGUCCCAUUGAGCAUGAGAUAUUCUGCUUUCGUCUCACCUGUGGGUGGCUAGGUUAAUUGGUCAAUGUAAUGACCAGGUGCUCAGAAUAGUGUUAGAGUUUGAAGUGAAUUGAUGACAAUGUGGAGAUAAAAAGCUAUAAAGAAAAUGACUUGGCCUCCUAUGUUGCAGAUAAAUAUGGAAGCAGAGGAUCAGAAACUUCCAUGGCAGUGUUGUGAUUGCAACUGUACACUGGCACUUUUCAUCUCUCUGCUUCUACUGGCAGCAGUAUGAUACUGGCUGGAAGAUUGGUUUGAAAUGCCCCAAGGUGCCAUUGAAUUAUGAAUUUUGAUGGCCUUUGCUUGUGACUGAAUAGAAGCAAAUUCUGCUCCAGCAGACGCUACACGCUGGGAAUGUCAGCUGUAACUGACACUGAAAGGUGCUCUAUUUUCAAACGUAAUGGAUGAGCGCCCAUCUGCUCUUCACAUUGGCACAUGAUUUUACAGCAAGAUCCAGCUCUAACCACAUCAUUACAUUUGCUGAUGACAUGACAGUGGUACAACAAUGAUGAAUGGCCAUGCAGAGGGAAGGUCGAGCAGCUUGUGGACUGUUGCGAGCACAGCAGCUUGAGUCUCAACGUAACGCUAAGGAGAUAACUGUGGUCUUUGUGAACGUGCAGACUGACCACGCCCUGGCUCCUCCAUGAAUGGAGUCAACAACACCAGAUUUUUUGGAGUGCUCAUCACAGAUGAUCUCACCUGGUCCCUCAACAUCAACCAUUUAGUCAAGAAAACACAGCAACGGCUCAACUUACUAAGGAGAUUGAGACAGGGAGGCUGCUGAAGAGGAAUGGCAGAACCAAACAGCUCACUCAAGGAGGUCUUGGAUAGGGACAGCAAGGCACUUACAUUGAGAGCUUGGGUUUGCUGGUUGGGAUCAUGAUGGCUCAUGCCUUGGGUUUGAUAAGGCCUUGCAAGCCAAAUAAAUUUCCCAAAAAUAUUAAUUAGACCUAUAUCAGUUAGAUUCCCUCUUCUCAACUGGGUUAAAUUCAAGAUGUGCCUUUAAAUAGAAAUGUUGCAGUGUUAUGAAUUUUUUUUAAUCUCUCUAGGAAUUCCCAGCUCUGGUGCCUCUUAGGUCAACCCUUCAAAAGAGAAUUCCAAGAGAACUAAUGUAUCACAGAGGUGACUGUGAGGUGGCUUUGCACACUGAUGGUGAAAGUGUCCAUCAACUUUCCAGAACGAUGCAAUUCAAUCUGGAAGUAGUCAUAAUCCAAUUUCAGAUAGAAAGUCAACUCUUCUCAAUUGACAGCAAUCAACAUUGUGAUAGUUAGAAACUGAUGAAGAUUGAGAUAUGGACUGCAGAGAUUAGUGGUGUGGUGUAAAGUGUACAAUGUGAGAGUCCAGUAAGGAGAGCAUGGAUUAGUCAAAUCAGGAAUCAAUAAAGGAUGCCAAUGAUUUAUUCAUUUGUUCAUUUACUUACUUGGAGAAGUGGUGCAGAAUAGGCCGUUUCAGCCCUUCAAGCUGUGCCACCCUGCACCCCAGAUUUAAACAUACCCUAAACACAGGCAAAUUAUAAUGACUAAUUACCCUAUUUGGUACAUCCUUGGACUGUGGGAGAAAACUGGAGCAUCUGGAGAAAACCUAGACAUUCCACAGGUCAAACAUGAGGAAAUCUGCAGAUGCUGGAAAUUCAAACAACAACACACACAAAAUGCUGAUGGAACACAGCAGGCCAGGCAGCAUCUAUAGGGAGAAGCGCUGUCAACGUUUCGGGCCGAGACCCUUGAAACUGAACUCCAAACUCCGACUGGGGAAUGGGGCUGAGCGAAAAAAAAAAAUCAAUCAUGAUUAAAUAAUGGCACCAAAGCAAAGGGUCCAAUGCUAGCUUCUGAUCCUAUCUUGGGACUUCAUAGUGUUUCAAUAGCUACUAUGCUGAGGUUAGGCUGAUAUUAUACAUAGGUAGAACACAAGUUCAGAAAAGACACCAAGUUUUUGAGCAGGUAGCCUCAGAUGGAGACAGGUGUAAGAUCAACGUUAUACAUACAAGGGUCUCAAUGAAAUUAAGGCACAUGAGCCUGGAGAAGUUGGAAUUUAGAUCGGUAAUCAGCUGAAGAAGUCCAGCGGGUCAAACAGCAUUUGCAGGAGUUGUCAAUGGUUCAUUUCAAAACCCAGUCCUGAUCCAGGGUUUUGACACAAAUUUCUUGAAAUAAUGUUGCGAUCGCUUACAUGUUUAUUAUUUUAUGCCUAUGAUUGCAUUAUGUUAUUGUUGCCCUUACAUCGGUGUGCCCAACUUGGGGUCCACGGGUCCCUUGCUUAAUGACAUUGGUCCGUAGCAUAACAGGGUGGGAACCCCUGCUUUACAUUAGUUAAACUAUAACACAACAAAAAUAACUGGAUAUUCAAAUAGGGGUUCCUCAUUUAUCAAGUUAUUUAUUCAUAAACUAAUAUCACAGGAUUGCUGAGUAAAAGACUAUUUGAAUGCAGCAAAGUAUAGAAUUUGAAUUAAUUUAGUAUAUGACAAAAACGUAAUUCAUUUUAACUGGAAUUUUCUCUAGGAAUUUCUUCAGAUUUUAAUGGAAAUCACAAAACCAAUUGAAAUGUUCCAUUAUAUGGACAAGUGUGUACUUUGUGUCAGGCCUGCACUUGCCACUCAUUCCCUAAUCAUUACCUACUCCUAUUUAAACUCAGCUCUCGUACACAGUCCUUGUUCACCAGCCAGCCUCAGCCAGUUGUUCUAGCCUUCAGUUGCCUUGUUGUGUUGUUGUACUAAAUAUCUGUUCUCUCUUGUUUUGUGCCCCCUCAUGGCUUGUUAUUUUGCAGUUUAUUUUUAAAGUUAUCACUCACCACUUAAUUGGCUCUGCUGCUCUGUUUGGGUCAAGCCUCCUUUACGUUUCCUGACACUUUGUUGGCACUCAUACCUGGAAUUAGAAAGCUCUCUGGUCCCUAAAACAAACAUUAGUUUCCUGUAUUGGUGUGAAAGACUACACUACACUGCUCCAUUUUGAAGAAUCUGUUAAUGUGACUCAAUAUAUAAACAGAAUUAUAUGAUUGGACUCUGGUUAACUUGAACUAAAUUAUUGUGGCAAGCAUUUGGUCCAUGUUGACGCCGAGAAACCUUGUAUAACUCAACAGCCAUUAUUUAUUGUGAUAAACAUAAAAACAGACAAGGUGAGAGAGCCAGACAGGGGAGGUGAUUUUUACACACCCUGGUUACAAUCAGGGUGAUCCACAAACACACAACUGUAUAACCCGAGCUAAGAUACAACAAUAAAUGUGAACAUCCCAUCAUAAUCCCACGAUCACAUUUUAAAACCAGAAUAAUAAAUAGCGCUGGCCACUAGGAAUGUUGGGGUGGGCUGUCAACCUCGCUACCCCAGAGCUGUACAGUGCCCCCUCCUGAGAGGUGAGCGAUCUCCAACAGCCCCAGAGUCAACAACGAACUUCAAAAGUCCCGGUGGUGGCUGACACUGCUCCCUGGGGAGAUGAGGACUGUCUGUAGCCACACCCCACCUAACACACCCCCCCACUGGGAGGCACUGUUUAGUGAGGUGAGAGGCAGGGCACAAGGAGUGUCACUUGCUUCCUUCAGCCUUGCUGGGUUGGUGGUGGCCGAGGGCCAACAUGGGGCCAGCCGGUCCCGGUGCAGUAUGACUGUCUUCUGCCACAAGGUAACUGCACCCGGUAAACCACAUCAGAGAUGCAGUUGAGCACCUCUCCUGGCCUCUUCUGACAUCUUCCAAACUUGGGGGAUUGUCUCUUCUUCUGGGAGGGGCAGUAACCCAUACUGGGGCCCCCGCCAUGUGCUGCUGCAUUGGCACCCUAGACUGGCGGCCUGGCCCCUUCUGGGACGUGCAGGUGUCACAGCAGUGCACAAGCAACUCCAUGUCCUGCCUGUACCCUGGCCAGGAGAAGCAUUUGCCCAGCUUGCAGUCUUGAAGUAGCUGUUCCCAACCAGUCCAUGCACCAGUCACAUAGAGAGGGGGCAGGUGAUUAUUACACACCCCGGCUACUGUCAGAGUGACCCACAAGCAUACAAGUGAAUAACUGUAUAACCUGAGCUAAAGAGUAACAAUAAAUGAAUGUGAACAUCCCACCAGAAUCCCACUAAAGCAUUUUAACACAAGAAAAAUAAUUAGCACUGGCCACUAGGAAUGUUGGGGCGGACUGUCGAAGACCCCUCACCCCACAUGCCACUGAGCGCUUCAAGAGAACUAAGCUCAUCCAGACUAUUGUACUUUUAAUGAAUCAUUAUGUGUGUCCACCCAUCUGUUUUUAAAAGUCACAAUAUUUAAGUUAAGGAAAAAACUUUUUAUGGGGUCAGAGAGAGAUAAAUGUUUAUCUAUCUGUAUGUGUACAAUUUCUAUUGAACAUAUUGAACUGUUCAGGUCCUUGUAUACUACUGGCCUGUUCCACACCCAGUCUCCUGCAUAUAAUGCUUAAAAAAAUGCACCAUCUAGGGAGGGAGGUGUUUCAGGUUGAUGACCUUCUUUUCUAAAGGUUAAUUUUUCUGCCUGAAAUGGGACAAACCCAGGCAUAUAGGGUUGCUAACUUAGACUGACAUCUUUGUUGGCAUUGAUGAAUUGAGCCUGAUCCUGUACUGUGUGACUCCAUCAAAAUAUUCUGUCUUCACAGAUGCUAUCUGUUCUGCUGUUUCCUGCAAUUUCCAUGCAUAGAUUAGGUUUUCAAUGGUUUGCUUUUGCAUCAUUUUCUGUUAUGUGGUAGUUUAUAGAUCAUCCAGAAUUUGCCAACAAAUGGAGGCAAUUCUGAGUCAACCGUACAUAAGAAAUCUAACCAUGAACCCUGAAUCUGGUGAACAACAUCGUCAAUACAUUUUGUUGCUGGAGAACCUAUUAACUGAGAUUGGCAGAUAGUUAUACCAAGGUUCAGCUCUUUCACCCCAUACCAGGUAGUUACGCCAAGGAUCAGCUCUUAUGUCACAUUCCAGGUGAGACCUGAUGCAGUUCCUGCUGUCCUAUCUAUUUCAAUUAGAUUUGUAGUUCAGCAGGAAGUAAAGAUUUUUAAACUACCUGUACUUCAGUUUUGUUUAAUAACUUAAAUCAUUUAGGAGUUUCAAGUGCUUUUGCUGACUUUUUAAAACAUAUAUAUUUAAAAUAUUUUUUCUUCACUUUUAAUAAUUGAACAAAAUGAAUACAAAACUUAGCACAUUUUUUGCAGCUAUCAAGGGCAAUCGGAGAGUUUCCUGCUGCAAAUUUUCUUUAUUAAACUUCUUACUGCUAGUCAUGGCAGACGACUGGAACCCAGCACUUUGUUCAGAAAGGCAGGCCUUCCACAUCUAGUCUAGGUAAGUCUGGCAGGUGAUUGCAGCAGGCAGGCUUCCAUUAGCAAGACCUUGCCCAGAUAUUGAGGUAGUUAGCUUGGUAAUUUGGUAAGUGGUUAACCAACUGAUUGUUAUCUGGUGUGGGAGGGUGGGGAUCAU